UUGUAUUUUAGGUUAAUUGUUUACCUCUCUUGUUUUUGUUUCAUAUUGUUCUCCGUCGAUCUACCUUUCCUUCCUUCUGCUUCAACAAUCUCCUUGUACUUCCCUCGUUUCUCUAAUUCUCAUCUCCGUGAACUUCAAGUUCGGAUGGUACCUGCAAAAGACACUUCAACGUUUAAGUAAUAUGUCGGUAUUCUACCCUUAGAGUUAUUAGUAAUGAAUGAUGACGUACUUGAUUAUUGAAAUUUGUUGCCUAUUUAUAUGAUUAUUAUAGGUCUUUUGUUAUCGCUCGGAUUAAAGAUUUGGUUUGUAAUUAAAAAUGUAUUACCUAGUGUUUGAUCACUGAUUAGUU
rnacentral:lncRNA from 1 species